ensembl:lncRNA
UCUACAUCAGUUUUGAAAAGGAAGCAAUAAAGCCCAUUCAAUGGUAUGAAUAAAAAUCCUUUGAGGUUUAGGCGCAGGGCUGCUUUUCUUCAGCUGGUAAUCAAAUUGGAGCUAAAAUGAAAUUGAGUUUUCUUAUGAAAAUAGCCUUUGUUGCUGGGAAGGCUGGUAAUUCAUAAACAAUAACCUGCUCUUUUGUGUGGAUAAUAAUAUAUUCAUGUUCUUUCAAUAGGGUAAAAGCCAGACCUAGUGCAUUAUGGUACAGUAAAAAUAGCAGAAGGAGCUUGCUGGAAUAAUCUUGAAGAAGAAAUGUAGCAUUCGGUGACUUAAGCUUUCAGCUCCCAUCUGAAAUUGUACUUUGCUUUUAUUUGCGAGCCGGGCUUUAGUUGUUGAUUUGUUGCUGCUAUACAAUAUUUGGUUAAUUGUGGAAGAUCUCAAGCUGUGCUCAUCACUGCUCCCGCGAAGGCUGCUGCCAGCUGCUAGAAGCAGAGCCUGCUGCUACAGGAUGUACACUAUUCACAGGAGCAGCCUCUCAGCGCUGAUUAUCACUGAAGAGGUCCUCGCUCUCCAUCGCUGCACCCCGCGCGCAGCCGGACUGCCGAGCGCAGGAGGAAGGCUCUCCCCUCUCCUCAGGAGAACCUGCUGACCUUUGCUGCGAGUGGAAUCAAAAAUGAUGGCUGGGAUUCUGACACCAGGGAAAGUCUUCUACUAUUGGAUCAACUUCCAAGGAUAUGCAGUAGUUAAAGUUCAACGUCUUUCAGAGAAACUUACAAGCAAUUCUUAAAUCUGCAACAACAUCAGCACAAGAGCUACUCCAUGGCUCCUUCUGAAGCAUCAUGACUCCUUACAUUUCCAAAGCAUCCUCACAGCAUAGCUCAUCGCACUGCCAAGGAGGACUAACAAGCUAACUAAGGCUAACAAGCAUCAUAUCUUGUGCUAAUGGAAGAAGCGCUAUGCACAUCCCCUGUAAGGAGGAAAUUCAUAAAGGAAAAAUGCUGUGAAUUGAGCUGCGCAAAUCUGGAACAGCCGACUCGCAACAAAUUCUCUAUCUGUUUUAAAGGAAUUCACUAAAACCAUCUUUACUUCCCCUCUUUGAAUGAAGAAGUGCCCUCAUGACUGCAGAGACAUUGUACAAAGGACAUCCAGGUUCCUCCUCUCCUGCUCCCUCUGAUGUAAGGAUCAAGAUUAUUUAGGGUGAUGACCCAUCACUCAGUUCAGACAUUCCACUUCUGCCAUUUCUCAUUGCUGCCAUUUUUGAUUAUUCCCUUCUCAAAGUCAUAUGCAAUGUCCUUGCAGGUAUGACUGCUGGAACCUCUCUCCAUGCUCAGUCCAUUCAGCUGUGCAGCUGACAAGUUCACUAAAAACUAAUCCUAGAAAAUCUUUGACCUAAUAUUGUGUACUUUGAUAGACACUGGAUAGGGUAAUGACAAAAAAAGCCUGCAAAAAGACCUCACCACAUUUAUCUUUGUAUGGAUACAUCUAGACCAGCAAAUGAAAUAUGCUGGGACGGUUUUCUGGCAUUGAGGUUAGCAGACCCAAGUCACGUAUGCUUGUGGCUUUAGGUCGAAAUCAGGGUAGCCACGUGUUAACUGGCAUGUGGAUUUGGUGCAGGGAUGGACUACUACAAAGGAUGGGCGCCAGGCAUGGCUGGGAGAGGAUAGGUAGAAAGCACAGGCCAGAGCCAUGCUGGAAACCUGACCACUCCUUCAGCAGCACUACAUUGGGUUCCACUGUCCAUUCCCCAUCAUGGACGUAUCCCCCAUCAGGUUAGUUAAUUGCUGCCAGUCGUUGCUUGUCUCUAGGUGCAUCUUCUCAUUGCUUCCCUCUGACCAUGUAGCAGAUAGGCAGAAAAGGCAAGUGAUGAGAGAACAGUCAUGUGUCUCCUUUGCCUCUGAACACAGCAUGCUGCAUAUAUACUGCCCCACUGGCUCUCAGUCCUAGAUUGGUUCCUUCAUGUUUUAGCCAUGACUUAUGCCUGGAUACCAGGUUUGCUUUUAAAGCAUUUGCUUUAUUUCAUUUAUUCUGCACAUAAUUGAUAUAUGUACAUUGAUUUGAGGAAUUGACUUAAUGACGGGGAAGAGGAAUUCUGCUUUCCUUUUAAGCAGGGGAAUGUUUGAUGGACUGGCUAUGUCAGGCCAGAGAAGUGUGCAUUUACCACAGGGGGUUAUUGAUUCUCCUGGGGUGCCCCAGCUAACAAUGGUGUCUUUAAAAGAUGAAAAUGCUUUGGGUUUAAGAUGGGAUAUGAGCCAGGAAGAAAAUCAUGCAUGACAUUCUCCAAGACACAGAAUGGUAAGGUAUUUUCUCAUGUAAUACACAUACUGUGUAACAGAAGCAUGUGUGCCUUUCUGCCUGAAGAGUCAUGGCAUAGCACUCCGGUUAAUUUGAGCUGCAGGAGGAGUUCUUACAAUGUAAGACUGCAAGAGAGACAGUAACCUGGGAAAAAGACCCACAGAGUUCUUGGUGAUUUUUGAUCACAUCUUGAUUUCCUUUUCAUUUCAUGAACUCCCAGAAGAGACAUCCCCUUUCUGUAAGCAUGCUAAUGCGAAGUAGAUGGACAAAAUGGUGGAGAAUUCAAACUGACGGAGAAAUAAUU